GGAAGUGUGGCUGAGUGGUUUAAAGCGCUGGUUUGCUAAAUCAAUGUAUAUUCUGAUGUACCGUGGGUUCAAAUCCUACUUCUUCCA
rnacentral:tRNA from 1 species